GGAUAGCUCAGUUGGUUAGAGCGUGGUGCUGCUAGCACCAAGGUUGAAGGUUCAAUCCCCGCUUGGGGCU